rnacentral:rRNA from 1 species
CACGUAGGGGGCGAGCGUUGUCCGGAUUUAUUGGGCGUAAAGAGCUCGUAGGCGGUUUCGUAAGUCGGGAGUGAAAUCCACUGGCUUAACUGGUGGCUUGCUUUCGAUACGGGCAGACUGGAGGUAUGCAGGGGAGAACGGAAUUCCGGGUGUAGUGGUGAAAUGCGUAGAUAUCCGGAGGAACACCAGUGGCGAAGGCGACUUUCUGGCCUGUUCUUGACGCUGAGGCGCGAAAGCUAGGGGAGCAAACGGG